CAGUCGCCACGGUAAUACGAAGGGGGCUAGCGUUGCUCGGAAUUACUGGGCGUAAAGGGAGCGUAGGCGGAUCGUUAAGUUGGGGGUGAAAGCCCGGGGCUCAACCUCGGAACUGCCUUCAAUACUGGCGAUCUUGAGUAUGAGAGAGGUGUGUGGAACUCCGAGUGUAGAGGUGAAAUUCGUAGAUAUUCGGAAGAACACCAGUGGCGAAGGCGACACACUGGCUCAUUACUGACGCUGAGGCUCGAAAGCGUGGGGAGCAAACAGGAUUAGAUACCCGGGUAGUCCCUGUCUCUUAUAC
rnacentral:rRNA from 1 species